ACUGAGCUGUGUCCUGUCUAGGUCUGUAUCUCCAGGUUAGACUGAGCUGUGGCCUGUAUCUCCAGGUUAGACUGAGCUGUGUCCUGUCUAGGUCUGUAUCUCCAGGUUAGACUGAGCUGUGGCCUGUAUCUCCAGGUUAGACUGAGCUGUGGUCUGUGUAGGUCUGUAUCUCCAGGUUAGACUGAGCUGUGGUCUGUGUAGGUCUGUAUCUCCAGGUUAGACUGAGCUGUGGCCUGUAUCUCCAGGUAAACUGAGCUGUGGUCUGUAUCUCCAGGUUAGACUGAGCUGUGGCCUGUCUAGGUCUGUAUCUCCAGGUAAACUGAGCUGUGGUCUGUAUCUCCAGGUAAACUGAGCUGUGGUGAGUCUCUGUUUCCAGCCAGAUCAGCCAGUCAGUGAGAGAGAGACCAGGGGAUU